ACCUCCCACCCGUGUCUAUCGUACCUUGUUGCUUCGGCGGGCCCGCCGUUUCGACGGCCGCCGGGGAGGCCUUGCGCCCCCGGGCCCGCGCCCGCCGAAGACCCCAACAUGAACGCUGUUCUGAAAGUAUGCAGUCUGAGUUGAUUAUCGUAAUCAGUUAAAACUUUCAACAACGGAUCUCUUGGUUCCGGCAUCGAUGAAGAACGCAGCGAAAUGCGAUAAGUAAUGUGAAUUGCAGAAUUCAGUGAAUCAUCGAGUCUUUGAACGCACAUUGCGCCCCCUGGUAUUCCGGGGGGCAUGCCUGUCCGAGCGUCAUUGCUGCCCUCAAGCACGGCUUGUGUGUUGGGCCCCCGUCCCCCUCUCCCGGGGGACGGGCCCGAAAGGCAGCGGCGGCACCGCGUCCGGUCCUCGAGCGUAUGGGGCUUUGUCACCUGCUCUGUAGGCCCGGCCGGCGCCAGCCGACACCCAACUUUAUUUUUCUAAGGUUGACCUCGGAUCAGGUAGGGAUACCCGCUGAACUUAAGCAUAUCAUAAGUGGAAGAA
rnacentral:rRNA from 1 species